rnacentral:rRNA from 1 species
CCUACGGUCGGCUGCAGUGAGGAAUAUUGGUCAAUGGACGAGAGUCUGAACCAGCCAAGUAGCGUGAAGGAUGACUGCCCUAUGGGUUGUAAACUUCUUUUAUAUGGGAAUAAAAUGUUCCACGUGUGGGAUUUUGUAUGUACUAUAUGAAUAAGGAUCGGCUAACUCCGUGCCAGCAGCCGCGGUAAUACGGAGGAUCCGAGCGUUAUCCGGAUUUAUUGGGUUUAAGGGGAGCGUAGGUGGAUUGUUAAGUCAGGUGUGAAAGUUUGCGGCUCAACCGUAAAAUUGCAAUUGAUACUGGCAGUCUUGAGUACAGUAGAGGUGGGCGGAAUUCGUGGUGUAGCGGUGAAAUGCUUAGAUAUCACGAAGAACCCCGAUUGCGAAGGCAGUUCACUAGACUGCAACUGACAUUGAGGCUCGAAAGUGUGGGUAUCAAACAGGAUUAGAUACCCUAGUAGUC